UUGUCCACAUUGGCCAUGGACAGACGGCUGUGCUUGUCUGUGAUAACCUCGUGCCAAUUGCACGUCCCCGUAAUGGCUACAGCGCAUUUGGAUGUCUGCCCUAUCAACUUUUGAUGCAAUUUUUCACGCCUACCAUGGUAACGGGGAAUCAGGGUUCGAUUCCAGAGAGAGAACCUGAGAAACGGCUACCACAUGCAAGGAAGGCAGCAGGCAGCAAAUUACCCACUCCCGAUGCGGGGAGGUAGUGACGACAA